rnacentral:rRNA from 1 species
AACGAACGCUGGCGGCAUGCCUAACACAUGCAAGUCGAACGAGGCCUUCUGGUCUAGUUGCGCACGGGUGCGUAACGCAUCGGAACCUUCCCUUAGGUUCGGACUAACUUCCCGCAGGGGGUGCUAAUUCCGAAUGAUGUCUUCUGCCCAAUGAUUUCUCUCCUUUGAAUGUUCCCGCUUUGGAUUAGCUAGUUGGUAGGUUAAAAGACUACCAAGGGGACGAUCCAUAGCUGGUCUGAAAGCAUGACCAAACACACUGGGACAGAGACAAGGCCCAGACUCCUAGGGGAGGAAGCAGUGGGGAAUAUUGAACAAUGGGUGAAAGAAUGAUCCAGCAAGGCCGCGUGAGUGAUGAAGGACAGAGGGUUGUAAAGCUCUGUUACCAGGGAUGAUAAUGACAGUACCGGGAGAAUAAGCUACGGCUAACUCCGUG